CUGUUUAAAAACACUGAUAAAAUUCAAGAAUGUGCCAAUAAUAACUCCCUCAUCGUGGGCUGAGCUGGAUUUCCAAAGCACCAGAAGCUGAAUGCUGAUCCUCCAGGAAAGAUGGUGAGCAGGGUGCCAUUGGGGGCCCUCAGGACCACCUGACUCCAAACCACAGGACUGGUCCACGAUAAUUGACAAUAGGCCCCCACGGAAGUCUUCUCAGCAUUUCUGCAAAAAUUUAGCAAACAUUAGGUUUGACACCAUCACCAUGUUUGCCAAGACAGCAAAAAUCCCAGCCGGCAAAACUUCGAGCGUGAUGAAGUGGAACAGAGAGGACAGCGCGGAAUGAGUGAUCAUUUCAGGAAAUCUUCUAGCAAGAGUUUCCAGUGUUGGGAUUUCGCAUCGUCUUUGCAGGAAGAGCGGUACGGAAGGUCCACUCUGGGGCCAGGCUGCGGUGAUGUAGGUAUUUUGUUAUAUUUGAAGACCUUUCUUCAGAUGCACCUGAAGCUCACUGCUUAUACUUCCAGAUGGUUGUUCCCUGAUGCCUGACCCUCAAGAAGCUGCUGGUCUCAGAAAUGCAGAGCUCCCCUUAAAAGGAAGACCCCCUUCCCAUCCCCCAUCUCUCAGUAAGAAGCCCAUUCUCUACCUGUUCCAAACAGCUGCAGCC
rnacentral:lncRNA from 1 species